GCUCAGGAUGAACGCUAGCGGCAGGCUUAAUACAUGCAAGUCGAACGGGUGUAGCAAUACAUUAGUGGCAGACGGGUGCGUAACACGUAUGCAAUCUACCUUUCACAGGGGGAUAACUCAGGGAAACUUCAGCUAAUACCGCAUAACAUUAGGUAAGGCAUCUUACUUAAUUAAAAUCUACGGAGGUGAGAGAUGAGCAUGCGACCGAUUAGCUAGUUGGUAGGGUAACGGCUUACCAAGGCGACGAUCGGUAGGGGAUCUGAGAGGAUGACCCCCCACACUGGUACUGAGAUACGGACCAGACUCCUACGGGAGGCAGCAGUAGGGAAUAUUGGGCAAUGGAAGGAAUUCUGACCCAGCCAUGCCGCGUGCAGGAAGAAUGCGCUAAGCGUUGUAGACUGCUUUUAUCAGGGAAGAAAAGAGGGUGCGCCCAUAAUUGACGGUACCUGAUGAAUAAGC
rnacentral:rRNA from 1 species